GUGCCUCAGCAGCAAAUACACUAAAAUUGGAACAAUACAGAGAAAAUUAGCAUGACCCCUGCUCAAGGAUGACAUGCAAAUUCAUGAAGUGUUCCAUAUUUGU